AACCAACAUUCAAGUGGAAUGGAUGAAGCAAGUUAAACCUUAUUGCCGAUAAGACAGAAGUACUGUAGCUCUACUACUGCCACCACCAUUAUGAAGGUGGGAAAGACGUGUGUAAUUCAAGACAUACUCUAAGCAUCUGAAUAAAAAGCUACUUGUGGAAUGUCUUAGCAGUACUGAAGAGACCUAUUGAAUGGGCAAAUGAUGAAAAGGGAAUGAAAACAUACUGUUUAAGCAAGAAUCUUUGUCUUUUCUUUCUACUUUUGCCUCUUGGUAUUGUAGGUGAGUGCUGCCCUUUGAUGCUACUUCUCUUAAAACUAGCAGUUUUAGCCCCAGCUGCCUUUCUCAAGUUUUAUUAUGGGACUUACAUUUCUCAGAGCAGUAGUGUCUUUUUUUUUGUUGUCGUUAAACAAAAGUGGUUAUUCCUUGCCCCUCCAAAACCCUCCUCUACUAAUGCGUAAUCAAGACGUACUGUUGAAUUAGAUUAUGUACAGUUAUUUUCAAUAACAUCUAUGUGUGGGCUAUGCGUGGGAGAGAAUUUCUUUCAGUAUAUUGAGUAUUUGCUAACAGCAAUCUGCAGCAUGGGGACAAAGCUGUGAGACUUACUUUUUUUUUUACCACCAUGUGGGUGAAUCUUGAAAAAUUUCAGCUUUUUUAUUUUUGUAAGGAAUGUGUGGGUGGAAAAGUAUGACUCAGUAUUUUUCUCAAUAGAUAAAGACAUCAUAGCUGAGUUUUGAAGGUUGUUAGCUGACCUUUAGAUAAUUCCUUUAUCUCUAACCCUGUCUUUUUAAUAAAGGAAAGCUUAUGUCAUUUAACAAAUUUUAACUAAAUAAAAUGUGAAUGCUUAUAUAUUUAUUAAAGA